AUUCACCGUUCUGAGUUGGCC
rnacentral:miRNA from 1 species